AUGCAGCGGCACCUAAUGGUGACAGUUGUUAAAGCGGGGGAUCGCAAGACCUCGCGUCUGAAGAGGAGCCUGCGGCGGAUUAGCUAGUUGGUAAGGUAAAGGCUUACCAAGGCGAUGAUCUGUAGCCGGCCUGAGAGGGCGGUCGGCCACACUGACACUGACAUACGGGUCAGACUCCUACGGGAGGCAGCAGUCGGGAAUUUUGGGCAAUGGGCGAAAGCCUGACCCAGCAACGCCGCGUGAAGGAUGAAAUCCCUCGGGAUGUAAACUUCGCAAGAACGGGAAGAAUAAGCCGGUGUCAACACCACCGGCGAUGACGGUACUGUUUGUAAGCUCCGGCUAACUCCGUGCCAGCAGCCGCGGUAAUACGGGGGGAGCAAGCGUUGUUCGGAUUUACUGGGCGUAAAGGGCGCGUAGGCGGCCACCGCAAGUCGACUGUGAAAUCUCCGGGCUUAACCCGGAACGGUCAGCCGAUACUGCGGGGCUAGAGUGCAGAAGGGGCAACUGGAAUUCUCGGUGUAGCGGUGAAAUGCGUAGAUAUCGAGAGGAACACCUGCGGCGAAGGCGGGUUGCUGGGCUGACACUGACGCUGAGGCGCG
rnacentral:rRNA from 1 species